AGUGAUUGUUUCAGCCGCCGCGGUAAUACGAAGGGGGCUAGCGUUGCUCGGAAUUACUGGGCGUAAAGGGAGCGUAGGCGGACAUUUAAGUCAGGGGUGAAAUCCCAGAGCUCAACUCUGGAACUGCCUUUGAUACUGGGUGUCUUGAGUGUGAGAGAGGUAUGUGGAACUCCGAGUGUAGAGGUGAAAUUCGUAGAUAUUCGGAAGAACACCAGUGGCGAAGGCGACAUACUGGCUCAUUACUGACGCUGAGGCUCGAAAGCGUGGGGAGCAAACAGGAUUAGAUACCCUGGUAGUCCACGCCGUAAACGUUGGGCACUAGGUGUGGGGGACAUUCCACGUUUUCCGCGCCGUAGCUAACGCAUUAAGUGCCCCGCCUGGGGAGUACGAUCGCAAGAUUAAAACUCAAAGGAAUUGACGGGGCCCCGCACAAGCAGCGGAGCAUGCGGCUUAAUUCGACGCAACGCGAAGAACCUUACCAAGGCUUGACAUAUACCGGAAUAUGGCAGAAAUGUCAUAGCUGUAAAAGGUCGGUAUACAGGUGGUGCAUGGUUGUCGUCAGCUCGUGUCGUGAGAUGUUGGGUUAAGUCCCGCAACGAGCGCAACCCUCGUUCUGUGUUGCCAGCAUUUAGUUGGGGACUCACAGGAGACUGCCGGGGUCAACUCGGAGGAAGGUGGGGAUGACGUCAAAUCAUCAUGCCCCUUAUGUCUUGGGCUGCACGCAUGCUACAAUGGCUGGUACAAAGGGCUGCGAUACCGCAAGGUGGAGCGAAUCCCAAAAAGCCAGUCUCAGUUCGGAUUGGGGUCUGCAACUCGACCCCAUGAAGUCGGAGUUGCUAGUAAUCGCAGAUCAGCAACGCUGCGGUGAAUACGUUCCCGGGGCUUGUACACACCGCCCGUCAAAC
rnacentral:rRNA from 1 species